UACGGAGGAUGCGAGCGUUAUUCGGAAUCAUUGGGUUUAAAGGGUCUGUAGGCGGGCUAUUAAGUCAGGGGUGAAAGGUUUCAGCUUAACUGAGAAAUUGCCUUUGAAACUGUUAGUCUUGAAUGGUUGUGAAGUAGUUGGAAUGUGUAGUGUAGCGGUGAAAUGCUUAGAUAUUACACAGAACACCGAUAGCGAAGGCAUAUUACUAACAAUUAAUUGACGCUGAUGGACGAAAGUGUGGGGAGCGAACAGG
rnacentral:rRNA from 1 species